CCUUCCUUUCCUUGGUAGGACCAGGUGUGAGAUCAACUCCCUGAUAUGUACAAAAGGCAGAGGGAAAGGGCUCUGGCCUCCUGGCAUUCUGUCUUCAAAGCAGAUGACUUUCUGUCUGCCAGUUCUAUCCUUAAGAGCCAGAACAUGG
ensembl:snoRNA